GACGAACGCUGGCGGCGUGGAUUAGGCAUGCAAGUCGAACGGUAUCAUCCUUUCGGGGGUGAGAGAGUGGCGAACUGGUGAGUAACACGUAGGUUAUCUACCCUCAAGACGGGGACAACCCAGGGAAACUUGGGCUAAUACCGGAUGUGAGCAACUUUUAGUUGUUUGAAAGGUGGCGUAAGCUGUCGCUUGGGGAUGAGCCUGCGUCCUAUUAGUUAGUUGGUGAGGUAACGGCUCACCUAGGCAAUGAUAGGUAGGCGGCCUUAACGGGUGGUCGCCCACACUGGGAUUGAGAUACGGCCCAGACUCCUACGGGAGGCAGCAGUCGAGAAUAGUCUACAAUGGUCCGGAAGACUGAUAGUGCGACGCCGCGUUGAACGAUGAAUCCCCUUGGGGUUAAAGUUCUUUUAUAUGUGAGCAGUGCUUUCUUAUAUUAACGUAUGGGGAGAGAGAUAUUAGCAUAUGAAUAAGCAACGGCUAACUCCGUGCCAGCAGCCGCGGU
rnacentral:rRNA from 1 species